rnacentral:rRNA from 1 species
AUGCAAGUCGAGCGCGAAAGGGGGAAACCCUGAGUAAAGCGGCGCACGGGUGCGUAACACGUAGGUAACCUGCCCUAUGGAGGGGGAUAACGUUCCGAAAGGAGCGCUAAUACCGCAUACAGCGUUUUGGGGUAACCUGGGACGGCAAAGGUUGGGAUUCGCAAGAACCAAUCACCAUGGGAGGGGCCUGCGGCCCAUCAGCUAGUUGGUAAGGUAAUGGCUUACCAAGGCGAAGACGGGUAGCUGGUCUGAGAGGAUGAUCAGCCACACUGGUACUGGAACACGGACCAGACUCCUACGGGAGGCAGCAGUGGGGAAUCUUGGUCAAUGGGCGCAAGCCUGAACCAGCGACGCCGCGUGAGUGAUGAAGGCCUUCGGGUUGUAAAGCUCUGUGGGGCGAGACGAAAGCCUACGUUCUAACAGGACGUAGUUUGACGGUAUCGCCUUAGCAAGCACUGGCUAACUCUGUGCCAGCAGCCGCGGUAAGACAGAGGGUGCAAACGUUGCUCGGAAUCACUGGGCGUAAAGGGCGUGUAGGCGGGAGGAUAAGUCAGGUGUGAAAUCCCCAGGCUCAACCUGGGAACUGCACUUGAAACUGUCUUUCUUGAGUGUCGGAGAGGAAAGUGGAAUUCCUGGUGUAGAGGUGAAAUUCGUAGAUAUCAGGAGGAACACCGGUGGCGAAGGCGGCUUUCUGGACGACAACUGACGCUGAGACGCGAAAGCGUGGGGAGCAAACAGGAUUAGAUACCCUGGUAGUCCACGCUGUAAACGAUGAACACUAGGUGCUGCGGGUAUUGACCCCUGCAGUGCCGAAGCUAACGCAUUAAGUGUUCCGCCUGGGAAGUACGGUCGCGAGACUAAAACUCAAAUGAAUUGACGG